rnacentral:lncRNA from 7 species
CGGGGAAGAGGCCAUCGCCUCGCCUGCCCAGGCACGGAGCGCCCGAUACCGAUGGCGAGAACAAGCCUCCAAUCCAGCAGCAGCCCGGAUCGGGCCGCGGCGGGCGCGCUGCCAGAGGCAACAGCACACGCAGACGACACAGCAGCUGCGGCUGGGCCGGUGCGCGCGGCAGGCAACAGAGAUUCGGGGAACCGCCAUCAUCACGUCGCCCAGGAAACAACCUGCCCUGCCCGACUUCUCUUCCGUCGACCGGCGCCACGCCCCAAGAACAUUCUCGCGCAUCGGAUCCUCGCCCCCCACAAUCUUUUUGUUUAAUCGAUCGCUGCUCGGCGCAGCUAGCUAGGUCGUCUAGGCUAGGGCAGUGUUUGUCGCGGUGUCAGGAGCCCGGCCUAGCUCGAGGAGACGAGAGGAGAGGAGGGCUGGAGCCUGGACGGGGGAGGGAAUCAAAGACCGGAUCCAUGCCGGAUCGAUCGCGCCUCGGACGGCAGGGAGGGGGGAAAGGGGAAAACAUUACGCCCAUAACGUGAUCCAGGCGAAGUAUCACGGUCACGGUAGCCAAGACGAGGAUCCAUCCUAAAAUAGUCAUUGCUGCCGGUUUU